CGGGGGUGAGCGAAGGACGCGGGGACGGGGGAGGGGGACACGGACACACGGGCGUAGAGCGGCCUGGGGCUGCUCCCAGCGCCACUCACCUCAGCGGUUCGCUGGCCCCGGGUGACAACACCGAGGUGGCAUCUGUGAGGUUCAUAGGGUCAUCAUCCCCCCUGUCCCCAAAAAAGACCCUGGGGGUGCAUCCCCUAUCCCUGUGCAACAGCCCCAAACCCCAGGGGACACACGGGGGACAAGCCCCACCCCCGCCUCAAAAGAGAGGGGACCAAGGGGACGUUUGACAGUCAUCGAUCGCCCCCACAUGUCCCCCGGCUCCCGCAGAGGCUUUAAUCAGCGAGCAGAAAUCAAUUAGCUGCCUUUAAGGAGGCAAUUAUUCCUGGGGGCUUUACAAGGCUGGGAAGGGGGAGAGUAUUUGGGGGUGGGGGUGCUGCCAGCUCCGUAUCCCCCCCUCAAAGUUGUCACCAUUAUGUCACCAGCUGUCUCCCUGGUUCUUUUCGCCAUCAUUUUUGUCGCCCCCCCCUCCACACCCCCCUAUUCCUCGUUAUCUUUCUGUUUUAACAAGCGCCUAAAAAUACGCCUGACGAGGUCACGGGCUGCGUGAGUCACCAGCAGCUCAGGGAUGGCGUGGCCCGGGUGGGCAGGGGGCUUUGCGUGGGGACAGGGUGGCCAUGGAGGGGACACAGAGGGAGGACAGGCUCACGCUGGUUGCUUGACUCACCUAGAGGGUCAGGGGACAUCCCCGGUCCUGGCUACUGCAUCCUUGUGGCAGGGACACAGCCCCAGGUCACCUUGUCGCCACAGGACAUCGCGUCCCUUUGGCAUAGCCACCACCCCAGGCCACUGCAUCACUCUGGGCCACUCUGUCCCCAUGGCAAGGCCACCACCCUUGGCCACCACCAGGACAGCCUCAGCACUGCUGUGGGACAGCAGCACUGUAUGGAUGGGCACAGUACCCCAGGUGACACCGGCUGGAGCCCCCGAGGUGCUCCCUGUCCCUGUCCCCAAGCCCUGCACAGGGAGGGGGAGCAGUGCAGCCCCUCAAAGCAGCUCCAUCCACCUGGGCACAGGGAAGGGAUGGACAAAGCUCCAAAGGGCCACGUUUGGGAGUGCAGGAGUCGGGAAAGGGACAAAGGUGGGAGGUGGCAGCAGCAGCGGCUGCCGUGGUUGUGAUGGCAGCAGUGAUGGCAGCAGUGAUUCCAGUGACAGCAGUGACUCCGGUGGUAGUUGUGGUGGCCACAAUGGUGGCAGUGGCUGUUGCAGUGGUGGCUGUAGCGGUGACAGCAGUGGAUGUCACAGCUGCAGUGGUGGCUGCAGUGAUGGUGAUGGCAGUAGCAGCUGUGGUGGCAGCAGUGGUUGCAGUGGCUGUGGUGGCAGCAGUUGUUGCGGUGGUGGUUGCGGUGGUUGCAAUUGCUGCAGUUGUUGCAGUGGUGGCUGCAGUUGUUGCAGUGGUUGCAGUUGUUGCGGUUGUUGCAGUGACAGCGGUGGCUGCAGCUGUUGUGGCAGUGGUUGCAGUUGUGGUGGUUGCAGUGGUUGCGGUUGUUGCAGUUGUUGCGGUUGUUGCAGUUGUUGCGGUUGUUGCAGUUGUGGUUGCAGUGGUUGCAGUGGUUGCAGUGGUUGCAGUUGUGGUGGUGGUGGUUGCGGUUGUUGCAGUUGUUGCAGUUGUUGCGGUUGUUGCAGGGACAGCGGUGGCUGCAGCUGUUGUGGCGGUGGUUGCAGUGGUUGCAGUGGUUGCAGUUAUUGCAGUUGUGGUUGCAGUGGUUGCGGUUGUUGCGGUUGUUGCGGUUGUUGCAGUUGUGGUUGCAGUGGUUGCAGUUGUGGUGGUGGUGGUUGCAGUGGUUGCGGUUGUUGCAGUUGUUGCAGUGGUUGCAGUUGUUGCGGUUGUUGCAGUGACAGCGGUGGCUGCAGCUGUUGUGGCGGUGGCUGCUGCGGUGGCUGCUGCGGUGGCUGCAGCUCCGCUCGCCGCCCGCCGCUCCUCUGCAAAGGUUAAGCAAACAGCAGCUCCCGCAGAAUCGAUGCCGG
ensembl:lncRNA